UACGUAGGUGGCAAGCGUUACUCGGAAUCACUAGGCGUAAAGCGCAGGUAGGCGGUUUGGUAAGUCUUUUGUGAAAGCUCCCGGCUCAACUGGGAGAGGUCAAAGGAAACUACUAGGCUAGAGUGUGGUAGGGGAUACUGGAAUUCCUGGUGUAGCGGUGAAAUGCGUAGAUAUCAGGAGGAACACCGAUGGCGAAGGCAGGUCUCUGGGCAUUAACUGACGCUGAGGAGCGAAAGCAUGGGGAGCGAACAGG
rnacentral:rRNA from 1 species